UAAUUAAGCGGAGGAAAAGAAACUAACCAGGAUUCCCUCAGUAAGGGCGACUGAAGCGGGAAUAGCUCACGAUGUGAAUCUGCGCCUUGUGCGCCGAAUUGUGGUCUGGAGACUCUUGCAUUACUGGCCGAACCAAGUCUGUUGGAAAGCAGCAGCGGAGAGGGUGAAACUCCCGUCCGUUUGGCCUUUGGAGCGAGUGUCUACGAGUCGAGUUGUUUGGGAUUGCAGCUCUAAGCGGGUGGUAAAUUCCAUCUAAAGCUAAAUAUUGGUGGGAGACCGAUAGCGUACAAGUACCGUGAGGGAAAGAUGCAAAGAACUUUGAAAAGAGAGUGAAAAGUACCUGAAAUUGCUGAAAAGGAAGCGAAGGAAAUCAGUGUGUAGUUGCGUCAUACUUCCCCACUCGCUUGCGGAUGGGGCGCUGUGGCCAGCGUGGUCAGCCUUGGUGGGGACCGUCGGACACUCGUUGUGAGAGUUGAUCGCAGCAUGCCGCGACGGUUUCGACUGAGGUUGACGAAAUGAUUUUCUUUUUCCCG
rnacentral:rRNA from 1 species